rnacentral:rRNA from 1 species
GAUGAACGCUGGCUACAGGCUUAACACAUGCAAGUCGAGGGGAAACGACGGGGAAGCUUGCUUCCCCGGGCGUCGACCGGCGCACGGGUGAGUAACGCGUAUCCAACCUGCCUCUGACUGAGGGAUAACCCGUCGAAAGUCGGCCUAAUACCUCAUGGCAUCGUCUGCGGGCAUCCAACGACGAUUAAAGAUUUCAUCGGUCAGAGAUGGGGAUGCGUCUGAUUAGCUUGUUGGCGGGGUAACGGCCCACCAAGGCGACGAUCAGUAGGGGUUCUGAGAGGAAGGUCCCCCACAUUGGAACUGAGACACGGUCCAAACUCCUACGGGAGGCAGCAGUGAGGAAUAUUGAUCAAUGGGCGAGAGCCUGAACCAGCCAAGUAGCGUGCAGGAUGACGGCCCUAUGGGUGGUAAACUGCUUUUAUGCGGGGAUAAAGUGAGGGACGUGUCCUUCAUUGCAGGUACCGCAUGAAUAAGGACCGGCUAAUUCCGUG